rnacentral:rRNA from 1 species
CACGGGGGGAGCAAGCGUUGUUCGGAAUCACUGGGCGUAAAGGGCGCGUAGGCGGGAUGGCAAGUCAGUCGUGAAAUCUCUCGGCUCAACCGAGAAACGUCGGCUGAUACUGCCGUUCUUGAGGGAUGCAGAGGAGACUGGAAUUCCCGGUGUAGCGGUGAAAUGUGUAGAGAUCGGGAGGAACACCGGUGGCGAAGGCGGGUCUCUGGGCAUUUCCUGACGCUGAGGCGCGAAAGCGUGGGGAGCAAACGGG